CCUACGGGAGGCAGCAGUAGGGAAUCUUUCACAAUGGGCGAAAGCCUGACGGAGCAACGCCGCGUGCGGGAUGAAGGCCUUCGGGUUGUAAACUGCUUUUAUAAGCGAGAAAUAUGAUGGUAACUUAUGAAUAAGGAUCGGCUAACUACGUGCCAGCAGCCACGGUCAUACGUAGGAUCCGAGCAUUAUCCGGAGUGACUGGGUGUAAAGAGUUGCGUAGGUGGGAUAAUAAGUAGCUAGUGAAAUCGGGUGGCUCAACCAUUCAGACUAUUAGUUAAACUGGUAAGCUCGAGACCGUUAGGGGUAACUGGAAUUCCUAGGGUAGGAGUGAAAUCCGUAGAUAUUAGAAGGAACACCAAUAGCGUAGGCAGGUUGCUGGGACGGUUCUGACACUAAGGCACGAAAGCGUAGGGAGCAAACGGGAUUAGAUACCCCUGUAGUC
rnacentral:rRNA from 1 species